GACGAACGCUGGCGGCGUGCUUAACACAUGCAAGUCGAACGAUGAAGCUAGAGCUUGCUCUGGUGGAUUAGUGGCGAACGGGUGAGUAACACGUGAGUAACCUGCCCCGAACUCUGGGAUAACUGCUGGAAACGGUAGCUAAUACCGGAUAUGACCAAUGAAGGCAUCUUCUGUUGGUGGAAAGAAUUUCGGUUCGGGAUGGACUCGCGGCCUAUCAGCUUGUUGGUGAGGUAACGGCUCACCAAGGCGAUGACGGGUAGCCGGCCUGAGAGGGUGAUCGGCCACACGGGGACUGAGACACGGCCCAGACUCCUACGGGAGGCAGCAGUGGGGAAUAUUGCACAAUGGGCGCAAGUCUGAUGCAGCAACGCCGCGUGAGGGACGACGGCCUUCGGGUUGUAAACCUCUUUUAGUAGGGAAGAAGCGAAAGUGACGGUACCUGCAGAAAAAGCACCGGCUAACUACGUGCCAGCCGCCGCAGUAA
rnacentral:rRNA from 1 species